rnacentral:rRNA from 1 species
UUUUUCGGAAGGUAUGCUUAAAGAUGAGCUUGCGCCACAUUAGUUUGUUGGUGGGGUAAUGGCCUACCAAGACGAUGAUGUGUAGCUGGACUGAGAGGUCGAACAGCCACAUUGGGACUGAGACACGGCCCAAACUCCUACGGGAGGCAGCAGUAGGGAAUUUUCGGCAAUGGAGGAAACUCUGACCGAGCAACGCCGCGUGAACGAUGAAGUAUUUCGGUAUGUAAAGUUCUUUUAUUGAAGAAGAAAAAAUAGUGGAAAAACUAUCUUGACGUUAUUCAAUGAAUAAGCCCCGGCUAACUAUGUGCCAGCAGCCGCGGUAAGACAUAGGGGGCGAGCGUUAUCCGGAAUUAUUGGGCGUAAAGGGUGCGUAGGCGGUUAGGAAAGUCUAUAAUUUAAUUUCAGUGCUUAACGCUGUCUUGUUAUAGAAACUACCUUGACUAGAGUUAGAUAGAGGCAAGCGGAAUUCCAUGUGUAGCGGUAAAAUGUGUAAAUAUAUGGAGGAACACCAGAAGCGUAGGCGGCUUGCUGGGUCUUGACUGACGCUGAGGCACGAAAGCGUGGGUAGCAAACAGGAUUAGAUACCCUGGUAGUCCACGCCGUAAACGAUGAGUACUAAGUGUCGGGAUAAAACUCGGUACUGAAGUUAACACAUUAAGUACUCCGCCUGAGUAGUACGUACGCAAGUAUGAAACUUAAAGGAAUUGACGGGACUCCGCACAAGCGGUGGAUCAUGUUGUUUAAUUCGAAGAUACACGAAAAAUCUUACCAGGUCUUGACAUGCUCUGCAAAGCUAUAGAAAUAUAGUGGAGGUUAUCAGGGACACAGGUGGUGCAUGGUUGUCGUCAGUUCGUGUCGUGAGAUGUUAGGUUAAGUCCUAAAACGAGCGCAACCCUUGUCGUUAGUUACCAGCACGUAAUGGUGGGCACUUUAACGAGACUGCCAAUUAAACAUUGGAGGAAGGUGAGGAUUACGUCAAAUCAUCAUGCCCCUUAUGAUCUGGGCUACAAACGUGAUACAAUGGCUGUUACAAAGAGUAGCUGAAGCGCGAGUUUUUAGCCAAUCUCAAAAAAGCAGUCUCAGUUCGGAUUGAAGUCUGUAACUCGACUUCAUGAAGUUGGAAUCGCUAGUAAUCGCGA